rnacentral:rRNA from 1 species
GAGUUUGAUCCUGGCUCAGGACGAACGCUGGCUGCGUGCUUAACAUAUGCAAGUCGAACGCUGAAGCCUGGUGCUUGCACCGGGUGGAUGAGUGGCGAACGGGUGAGUAACACGUGAGUAACCUGCCCCUGACUUCGGGAUAAGCCCGGGAAACUGGGUCUAAUACCGGAUACGACUGCCGGACGCAUGUCUGGUGGUGGAAAGUUUUUUCGGUUGGGGAUGGGCUCGCGGCCUAUCAGUUUGUUGGUGAGGUAAUGGCUCACCAAGACGACGACGGGUAGCCGGCCUGAGAGGGCGACCGGCCACACUGGGACUGAGACACGGCCCAGACUCCUACGGGAGGCAGCAGUGGGGAAUAUUGCACAAUGGGGGGAAACCCUGAUGCAGCGACGCAGCGUGCGGGAUGACGGCCUCGGUUGUAACGCUUCUAGCAGGAGAAGACGCAAGUGACGGUACCGUGCAGAAGAAGUACCGGCGUAACUACGUAGCCAGCCGCCGC